rnacentral:rRNA from 1 species
ACGGGUGCGUAACGCGUGGGAAUCUGCCCUUGGGUUCGGAAUAACAGUGAGAAAUUACUGCUAAUACCGGAUGAUGUCUUCGGACCAAAGAUUUAUCGCCCAAGGAUGAGCCCGCGUAGGAUUAGGUAGUUGGUGGGGUAAUGGCCUACCAAGCCGACAAUCCUUAGCUGGUCUGAGAGGAUGAUCAGCCACACUGGGACUGAGACACGGCCCAGACUCCUACGGGAGGCAGCAGUGGGGAAUAUUGGACAAUGGGCGAAAGCCUGAUCCAGCAAUGCCGCGUGAGUGAUGAAGGCCUUAGGGUUGUAAAGCUCUUUUACCCGGGAUGAUAAUGACAGUACCGGGAGAAUAAGCUCCGGCUAACUCCGUGCCAGCAGCCGCGGUAAUACGGAGGGAGCUAGCGUUGUUCGGAAUUACUGGGCGUAAAGCGCGCGUAGGCGGUUACUCAAGUCAGAGGUGAAAGCCCGGGGCUCAACCCCGGAACUGCCUUUGAAACUAGGUGACUAGAAUCUUGGAGAGGUCAGUGGAAUUCCGAGUGUAGAGGUGAAAUUCGUAGA